rnacentral:rRNA from 1 species
AGAGUUUGAUUCUGGCUCAGGACGAACGCUGGCGGCGUGCUUAACACAUGCAAGUCGAACGGGGUGCCUAUGAAAGAGAUUUCGGUCAAUGGAUUAGGUUACUUAGUGGCGGACGGGUGAGUAACGCGUGAGGAACCUGCCUUUCAGAGGGGGACAACAGCUGGAAACGGCUGCUAAUACCGCAUGACACAUAUUUAUCGCAUGGUAGAUAUGUCAAAGAUUUAUCGCUGAGAGAUGGCCUCGCGUCUGAUUAGCUAGUUGGUAGGGUAACGGCCUACCAAGGCGACGAUCAGUAGCCGGACUGAGAGGUUGGCCGGCCACAUUGGGACUGAGAUACGGCCCAGACUCCUACGGGAGGCAGCAGUGGGGAAUAUUGGGCAAUGGGCGCAAGCCUGACCCAGCAACGCCGCGUGAAGGAAUAAGGCUUUCGGGUUGUAAACUUCUUUUAAGAGGGAAGAGCAGAAGACGGUACCUCUUGAAUAAGCCACGGCUAACUACGUGCCAGCAGCCGCGGUAAUACGUAGGUGGCAAGCGUUGUCCGGAUUUACUGGGUGUAAAGGGCGUGU